GGUUAAGCGACUAAGCGUACACGGUGGAUGCCCUGGCAGUCAGAGGCGAUGAAGGACGUGCUAAUCUGCGAUAAGCGUCGGUAAGGUGAUAUGAACCGUUAUAACCGGCGAUUUCCGAAUGGGGAAACCCAGUGUGUUUCGACACACUAUCAUUAACUGAAUCCAUAGGUUAAUGAGGCGAACCGGGGGAACUGAAACAUCUAAGUACCCCGAGGAAAAGAAAUCAACCGAGAUUCCCCCAGUAGCGGCGAGCGAACGGGGAGGAGCCCAGAGCCUGAAUCAGUGUGUGUGUUAGUGGAAGCGUCUGGAAAGGCGCGCGAUACAGGGUGACAGCCCCGUACACAAAAAUGCACAUGCUGUGAGCUCGAUGAGUAGGGCGGGACACGUGGUAUCCUGUCUGAAUAUGGGGGGACCAUCCUCCAAGGCUAAAUACUCCUGACUGACCGAUAGUGAACCAGUACCGUGAGGGAAAGGCGAAAAGAACCCCGGCGAGGGGAGUGAAAAAGAACCUGAAACCGUGUACGUACAAGCAGUGGGAGCCUCUU
rnacentral:rRNA from 1 species